GCCAGGCAUGGUAGUGCAUGCCUGUAGUCCCAGCUACUCAGGAGGCCGAGGCAGGAGGAUUGCUUGAGCCCAGGAGGUCAAAGCUGCAGUGAGCCGUGAUUGUGCCACUGCACUUCAGCCUGGGCAAGAGAGUGAGACCCUGUCUUAA
ensembl:misc_RNA Metazoa_SRP Metazoan signal recognition particle RNA